UACGAAGGGGGGCUAGCGUUGCUCGGAAUCACUGGGCGUAAAGCGCACGUAGGCGGCUUGUUAAGUCGGGGGGUGAAAUCCUGGAGCUCAACUCCAGAACUGCCCUCGAUACUGAUGAGCUCGAGUCCGGGAGAGGUGAGUGGAACUGCGAGUGUAGAGGUGAAAUUCGUAGAUAUUCGCAAGAACACCAGUGGCGAAGGCGGCUCACUGGCCCGGUACUGACGCUGAGGUGCGAAAGCGUGGGGAGCAAACAGG
rnacentral:rRNA from 1 species